GAUGAACGCUGGCGGCGUGCCUAAUACAUGCAAGUCGAGCGAACGGACGAGAAGCUUGCUUCUCUGAUGUUAGCGGCGGAAGGGUGAGUAACACGUGGAUAACCUACCUAUAAGACUGGGAUAACUUCGGGAAACCGGAGCUAAUACCGGAUGAUAUUUUGAACCGCAUGGUUCAAAAGUGAAAGACGGUCUUGCUGUCACUUAUAGAUGGAUCCGCGCUGCAUUAGCUAGUUGGUAAGGUAACGGCUUACCAAGGCAACGAUGCAUAGCCGACCUGAGAGGGUGAUCGGCCACACUGGAACUGAGACACGGUCCAGACUCCUACGGGAGGCAGCAGUAGGGAAUCUUCCGCGAUGGGCGAAAGCCUGACGGAGCAACGCCGCGUGAGUGAUGAAGGUCUUCGGAUCGUAAAACUCUGUUAUUAGGGAAGAACAUAUGUGUAAGUAACUGUGCACAUCUUGACGGUACCUAAUCAGAAAGCCACGGCUAACUACGUG
rnacentral:rRNA from 1 species